rnacentral:rRNA from 1 species
GAUGAACGCUGGCGGCGUGCCUAAUACAUGCAAGUCGAGCGAACAGACGAGGAGCUUGCUCCUCUGACGUUAGCGGCGGACGGGUGAGUAACACGUGGAUAACCUACCUAUAAGACUGGGAUAACUUCGGGAAACCGGAGCUAAUACCGGAUAACAUGUUGAACCGCAUGGUUUAACAGUGAAAGACGGUCUUGCUGUCACUUAUAGAUUGAUCCGCGCCGCAUUAGCUAGUUGGUAAGGUAACGGCUUACCAAGGCAACGAUGCGUAGCCGACCUGAGAGGGUGAUCGGCCACACUGGAACUGAGGAACGGUCCAGACUCCUACGGGAGGCAGCAGUAGGGAAUCUUCCGCAAUGGGCGAAAGCCUGACGGAGCAACGCCGCGUGAGUGAAGAAGGUCUUCGGAUCGUAAAGCUCUGUUAUUAGGGAAGAACAAAUGUGUAAGUAACUAUGCACGUCUUGACGGUACCUAAUCAGAAAGCCACGGCUAACUACGUG